GGAGAUAUGGUUGAAACCGUGCAGGGGUGUCAGCUGAAUCCAAACCGAACGCAACGAUCGAGUUGGUGACGACUUGUGACUUGGGGAAGACCAUGACUCGUGUGCGUCUAGCAGGGCGAUGUCCUCAUCACAACACAUCAAUGCGCCUGAUGAUCUUGCCCCAUGUCUCGGUAGGCAGUUUCGCACCAUUGCACAGUUGGCACUGCAAGCACGAGGGAGGACGGCAUGAUAGAGUUCUCGAAGGUGCUGCAAAGGUAGAGAUGGCGGAGAAGCUUUUGCAUUGGUUUCUUUGGGCUAGGAGAACUAGGAGAAUACACAAGCAGAUAACGCUGACAAGUACUCAAAUAAAUGUGUGUACGCACCUUGAAAAAAAAAGGAAACACGGGGCUGAUUUGUCGGGUGGGAGAUUCAAUCAUCCUUUCCUAAUUUGAGGUGCGCAUCCUUGGUUUAUGGCAAAGAAUGUGGCAUCCAGUCCUGAUAUAUGGCAAAGUUUCAAUGAUAGGUAUUGACGAUUAUUCUCUUCUACCCCCAUGAUUUUCCCCCCUGAUUAUGUUUAUCAAUUUUCUAUACUUCACAUUUCCUUGUAUAGUUUUUAAUUCGUGCAUGGUAAUUUAUCUCUGUUAUAAUCGCUCCGCCUGACCUCCAGUAUAUCCAAUUUUGUUAUUCCUUUCCUUCUAUAAAGCAAACACGACUUGCCUAUAUAUUCCCUCCACGUACCACUUUGCAACUAUUCUCUCUUUUUCCUCACGUAGGCU
rnacentral:lncRNA from 1 species